AUACGUAGGGAGCGAGCGUUGUCCGGAAUUACUGGGUGUAAAGGGAGCGUAGGCGGGAGUGCAAGUCAGAUGUGAAAUACAUGGGCUCGACCCGUGGGCUGCAUUUGAAACUGCAUUUCUUGAGUGAAGGAGAGGUAAGCGGAAUUCCUGGUGUAGCGGUGAAAUGCGUAGAGAUCGGGAGGAACACCAGUGGCGAAGGCGGGUAACUGGACUGCAACUGACGCUGAGGCGCGAAAGUGUGGGGAGCAAACAGGACUAGAUACCCUGGUAGUCCACACUGUAAACGAUGAAUGCUAGGUGUAAGAGGUAUCGACCCCUUUUGUGCCGGAGUUAACACAAUAAGCAUUCCGCCUGGGGAGUACGGCCGCAAGGUUGAAACUCAAAUGAAUUGGCGGGG
rnacentral:rRNA from 1 species